GUCUGAUUCACAGCUGGCACCCAAUAAAUGUCAUCAUUGUUAUUAUUGACGGUUCCAGUCCCCAAGAAGUAGUUUCCAAAAACCAGUAGACCAUCAUUUACUUCAUUUAUCUCUUCCCAAAACCCAAACGCCUUCAUCAGUCAAUCUUCAAUCUGGUUCUCUCCUUCUGCACGAUCCAUCUUCUGUUGCAUCUUGCUCAGGCAGUCCUCCGAGAAGGACAGCCUCGCAAAAGGUGAUCAACAUUUUCAGUAGCCCCUACACAUCUUAGUGUGUUGGCAGCUCAACUUGCCGGCAAUACAUAGUCUGCUGGCGUAUUGACACAGUUUGUCAGGUGCGGAGUUAGCGAUGACUGAGCUAGCCGAAGUGCGUCGUUACAUGGAGAGCAGUGGCACGUAUCUAGGAAAAGUUGACAGCAUGUUUAAGUUUAUUCCAUUUUUAGAACGUCUUGGAAAGUAUGGAUUGAAGGCUCCAAAUGAAUUCAGAUAAAACCUCUUUUUCUUAACCUAUCCAAGUGGUUAGUCUUUCCUUUUAAUAGGUGAUAAAAUUCUAAGUAUGUCGCAACGCGUUCAGCCUUUUAAGUGUGUCGCAACGCGUUCAGCCUUUACUACCUGUCACCUUUAAUUUUUCUCAUGCCAAGUUUUUGUUCGUUAUUAACUUUUCUCUACUAUUAACCCACAUGAUGUGUAAACUUUGGAUAUCCUAUAAUCCUUAUAACCUUCUACUCUCUUCAUUUUCCUUUUGGUGGAUUUAUAAUUAGCAGUGGAAUAAAAAAUGUAUAAUAAUUUCUUUAGCA